rnacentral:tRNA from 1 species
GCCUGGGUGGUUCAGUCAGUUAAGCAUCUGACUUCAGCUCAGGUCAUGAUCUCAGUUUGUGAGUUCGAGCCCCACUUUGGGCU